ACACAUAGUCCACAUCAUAUGUGUUUACCAGACACAUAGUCCACAUCAUAUGUGUUUACCAGGUACACAUAGUCCACAUCAUAUGUGUUUACCAGGUACACAUAGUCCACAUCAUAUGUGUUUACCAGACACAUAGUCCACAUCAUAUGUGUUUACCAGGUACACAUAGUCCACAUCAUAUGUGUUUACCAGACACAUAGUCCACAUCAUAUGUGUUUACCAGACACAUAGUCCACAUCAUAUGUGUUUACCAGGUACACAUAGUCCACAUCAUAUGUGUUUACCAGGUACACAUAGUCCACAUCAUAUGUGUUUACCAGGUACACAUAGUCCACAUCAUAUGUGUUUACCAGGUACACAUAGUCCACAUCAUAUGUGUUUACCAGACACAUAGUCCACAUCAUAUGUGUUUACCAGACACAUAGUCCACAUCAUAUGUGUUUACCAGGUACACAUAGUCCACAUCAUAUGUGUUUACCAGGCACAUAGUCCACAUCAUAUGUGUUUACCAG